AUUGAACGCUGGCGGCAGGCCUAACACAUGCAAGUCGAGCGGAUGAAGGGAGCUUGCUCCUGGAUUCAGCGUCGGACGGGUGAGUAAUGCCUAGGAAUCUGCCUGGUAGUGGGGGAUAACGUCCGGAAACGGGCGCUAAUACCGCAUACGUCCUGCGGGAGAAAGUGGGGGAUCUUCGGACCUCACGCUAUCAGAUGAGCCUAGGUCGGAUUAGCUAGUUGGUGGGGUAAAGGCCUACCAAGGCGACGAUCCGUAACUGGUCUGAGAGGAUGAUCAGUCACACUGGAACUGAGACACGGUACAGACUCCUACGGGAGGCAGCAGUGGGGAAUAUUGGAGAAGGGGCGAAAGCCUGAUCCAACCAUGCCGCGUGUGGGAAGAAGGUCUUCGGAUUGUAAAGCACUUUAAGUUGGGAGGAAGGGCAGUAAGUUAAUACCUUGCUGUUUUGACGUUACCAACAGAAUGAGCACCGGCUAACUUCGUG
rnacentral:rRNA from 1 species